ACAGCCCCAAAAUGUAUAGCAAAAUGUAUGAACAUUUUAGUCAUCGCCUCAUCGGACCAUGUUGCGAUAGUAAUGAAGAAAAAGUUCGAUAGUGUUGAAUUAAGGUCACAAAUCAAUACACAGCAGAAACAGAAGCUAUGAUCACAAGACAUGAUAAAGGAUGAGAAUGAUCUUGGUCAUUGGAAUAUGUUGCCAUGUCAAAUGAUUCUUGGUGUGUGCUGCUGCUUCGUCGCUUGAUUUCUCACUACGCCGAUUAAUUGUAUUCAACGAGAUGGUUUGGGUCAAGAACUUCAGUGGCCUGUAGAGGAGGAUUAAGUUGUGUAAGAGUUAAGACCAUCCACAAUGGUGGUUUUUUAGGAGUACCUAAAUUAUUAAACAAAUAAAAAAAAUGAAAAAGGAAGAGAGAGACAUAGAAUCGUUUCUAAAACAAGGUACUCAUAAAAAAUUGUCUCUACACAUGUUCUUCAUUUAGUGGUCCAUUUUUUAUUUAAAAUUUAAAUUUAAAUAUAAAA